rnacentral:lncRNA from 1 species
AGCUCAUGAAACCCAUGAGAAUCCUGUGAAGGUCCAGCCUCCUGGGCUGUGUCCUGUGGAGGGUUUCCAUGAUGGUCUCCUGGCCAGUUCCAAGUCUGCAGUCUUCCAUAUUGAACCAAACUAAAUUUAAAGACACAUUCUUCACAGUAUUCUAAUUGUUUGAAUUCCUGUUGUGGGUGGUCACGUGAUUUCCUGAAGUUUACUUUCACUUUCUCCUCUGGCUGUGACGCAGCUUCUGUCUGGGUGUGAAGGUAACGUCCUCCAUUUUCCCCCAGGUUCGCUCUUUGUGGAUCUUUUCUCUCUCUCUCUCUGUCUGUCUGUGUGUGUGUGUGUGUGUGACUGAAGGACUUUGUCCACUCUGAGUCCUCCAGCGUGCUGGUCCCUCUCUGUCGCAGCGCAGCGGCCUCAUGUUCGGGCGGCAGCUCCGGGCCGCUGAGAGGAGGCGAUAUUUAGUGUUGAUAAGAUUGACUUGUUGUUUUUAUUUAAACUUGUUUACAUCUACUUGAUGAAAAUACUAAUUAUUAAUAUUAAGAAGUCCAUUUGAUUCAGUCCAAAUCCACACGGACCUGUUUACGUGUUAAGAGCCGUUCUGAGUUUCAAAAUGUCGCCAUGUUUAACAGCACACCUACACCCCACAGGUGAAGAGGCGGAGUCCUGGCAGCUGUGCAGACAGACAAAGGGUUAAAAACAAAGGUUAACAGAAUAAUCAGAGGACUGCAUUUACAUUUGUUGUUGACAACCAGCAUGAAAAGAUGAUGGAUUCAGGUUUAGAUUCAGUUAUUAGAGUGAUCUGUGUUAAAUCACUCACUGCUCACAGUUCCAUCCAUUUGUCUCUGACAGGAAACCAAGCGGAACCAGGAGAGACUGACGGCUGACCUCCUCUGUUCCUUCCGUCCUCCUCUCCAACAUGAGCAGGAAUCAGCAGAGACCAGACUCACAUGGGCCUGGACCAGGACCAGGACCUGAGCCCAGCUGUGUGUCAGUGAACAGUGAUUGUUCAAAGGAGGACAUCAUUAACUUUGGACUAGAACCUGAAAGCCGGAUGAGACGUUCCCUCAGACGUUUAAGGUCCCAUCUGACACCAUACGUACAUGGACCUGGACCAGGACCAGGACCUGAGCCCAGCUGUGUGUCAAUGAACAGUGAUUGUUCAAAGGAGGACAUCAUUAACUUUGGACUAGAACCUGAAAGCCUGAUGAGCAGUUUCGAUAUUUUAAGUUACUAUCAGACACCAGACUUGCAUGGACCAGGAUCUAGACCCCGCUUUGCGUCUCUGCAGAGUGAUUGUUCAAAGGAGGACAUCAUUAACUUUAAAGCAGAUAUGUCAAGAUCAAGGCUGAAACGGUCUGCAAAGUCCAUGUGGAGUAACGCCUUCGACAUCACUCCUCUGUCUGUCAGGUCCUUUCAGACAGCAGACGUACAGCGACCACGUACACCCAACAUUCGUUUCUUGAAGUAAGUAAGUCUCGAUUCAUUUAAACGGCUGCAAACUGCAGGUCUUGGGUCCAGGUGCUGUCAUUGUCUCUGUGGUGUAGCAGUUCUGUGGUAGUGUUUGUAC